AGUGAACGCUGGCGGCAGGCCUAACACAUGCAGGUCGAGCGGCAGCGGGUCCUUCGGGAUGCCGGCGAGCGGCGGACGGGUGAGGAAUACAUCGGAAUCUGCCCUGUCGUGGGGGAUAACCUAGGGAAACUUAGGCUAAUACCGCAUACGACCUACGGGUGAAAGCGGGGGAUCGCAAGACCUCGCGCGACAGGAUGAGCCGAUGUCCGAUUAGCUAGUUGGCGGGGUAAAGGCCCACCAAGGCGACGAUCGGUAGCUGGUCUGAGAGGAUGAUCAGCCACACUGGGACUGAGACACGGCCCAGACUCCUACGGGAGGCAGCAGUGGGGAAUAUUGGACAAUGGGCGCAAGCCUGAUCCAGCCAUGCCGCGUGGGUGAAGAAGGCCUUCGGGUUGUAAAGCCCUUUUGUCCGGGAAGAAAUCGUCUGGGCUAAUACCCCGGGCGGAUGACGGUACCGGAAGAAUAAGCACCGGCUAACUUCGUG
rnacentral:rRNA from 1 species